UUUAUCUGCUCUCGGUUUGGUCCAUCGGUCGGGGACUCCGGAGCACUGUGUCGCACUCGAGGUGACGGGAGGGAAAGCGUUGUCCCCACUGCACGGGGGCGGGCCUGGGGCUCGGCCCUUGCCGCCCGCCGCGCCAGCCUCACUCCCUGCGGCUCCGGUGGCCGCGCUGCUGGACCCGGCGCAGGUGGGUGGAACUGAGAUGACACCUAGGGAAACCCAGUAAGCCAGAAAUUUAAUAUGGCAGAACCUCCUUUAGCCAGGGACUCCAAAUGGCUGUGUGGAGGAGAGCAGCCCUGUGAACUCUUACCCCAUACUGUACUUUCAUAAUAACCUUCUCAGAAAAGGGGCUGAGGCAAGAAAAGCAAAUCCUUGGGCUCGGCGCGAAGGCAGCUGCCAACAGCAACACGGGGGGACGGCCGCCUGCCCAGGCCAGGCUGAGUCUGGCAUUCCUGGACUACAUCCCUGGCCUGCUCCCGCAAAGAGCCACAACUCUCUUCGAUGGCCUGUGCUUAUAUGAUGGGUAAAUAAA